GUCGAGCGGUAGAGAGAAGCUUGCUUCUCUUGAGAGCGGCGGACGGGUGAGUAACGCGUAGGAAUCUACCUGGUAGUGGGGGACAACAUUCGGAAACGGAUGCUAAUACCGCAUACGCCCUACGGGGGAAAGGAGGGGAUCUUCGGACCUUUCGCUAUCAGAUGAGCCUGCGUAGGAUUAGCUAGUUGGUGGGGUAAAGGCCCACCAAGGCGACGAUCCUUAGCUGGUCUGAGAGGAUGACCAGCCACACUGGGACUGAGACACGGCCCAGACUCCUACGGGAGGCAGCAGUGGGGAAUAUUGGACAAUGGGGGCAACCCUGAUCCAGCCAUGCCGCGUGUGUGAAGAAGGCCUUCGGGUUGUAAAGCACUUUCAGUGGUGAGGAAAGGGUAACCGCUAAUACCGGUUAUCUGUGACGUUAGCCACAGAAGAAGCACCGGCUAAUUCCGUGCCAGCAGCCGCGGUAAUACGGAAGGUGCGAGCGUUAAUCGGAAUAACUGGGCGUAAAGCGCGCGUAGGUGGUUGAGUCAGUCAGAUGUGAAAGCCCCGGGCUUAACCUGGGAACUGCACCUGAUACUGCUUGACUAGAGUACGGUAGAGGGCAGUGGAAUUUCCUGUGUAGCGGUGAAAUGCGUAGAUAUAGGAAGGAACACCAGUGGCGAAGGCGACUGCCUGGACUGAUACUGACACUGAGGUGCGAAAGCGUGGGUAGCAAACAGGAUUAGAUACCCUGGUAGUCCACGCCGUAAACGAUGUCGACUAGCCGUUGGGAGACUUGAUCUCUUAGUGGCGCAGUUAACGCGAUAAGUCGACCGCCUGGGGAG
rnacentral:rRNA from 1 species